rnacentral:rRNA from 1 species
GAAAGGCCAAUCAAACCGGGAGAUAGCUGGUUCUCCCCGAAAUCUAUUUAGGUAGAGCCUUGAGCGGACACCUUCGGGGGUAGAGCACUGUUUCGGCUAGGGGUCCAUCCCGGAUUACCAACCCGAUGCAAACUGCGAAUACCGAAGAGUGAUACUCAGGAGACACACGGCGGGUGCUAACGUUCGUCGUGGAGAGGGAAACAACCCAGACCGCCAGCUAAGGUCCCAAAGUCUAUAUUAAGUGGGAAACGAAGUGGGAAGGCUUAGACAGCUAGGAUGUUGGCUUAGAAGCAGCCAUCAUUUAAAGAAAGCGUAAUAGCUCACUAGUCGAGUCGGCCUGCGCGGAAGAUGUAACGGGGCUCAAAUAUAGCACCGAAGCUGCGGCAUCAGAAUUUAUUCUGUUGGGUAGGGGAGCGUUGUGUAAGCGGAAGAAGGUGGCUCGAGAGGGUUGCUGGACGUAUCACAAGUGCGAAUGCUGACAUAAGUAACGAUAAAACGAGUGAAAAACUCGUUCGCCGGAAGACCAAGGGUUCCUGUCCAACGUUAAUCGGGGCAGGGUGAGUCGGCCCCUAAGGCGAGGCUGAAAAGCGUAGUCGAUGGGAAACGGGUUAAUAUUCCCGUACUUGGUAAAGCUGCGAUGUGGGGACGGAGAAGGUUAGGUAAGCGGACUGUUGGAAAUGUCCGUUUAAGUUGGUAGUUGGGAGCGGUAGGCAAAUCCGCUGCUCCAUUCAACAACGAGAGAUGAUGACGAGUUCCUAAGGGAAUGAAGUUACCGAUACCCGGCUUCCAGGAAAAGCCACUAAGCGAAAGGCUUUAUUAAACCGUACUGAAAACCGACACAGGUGGUCAGGUAGAGAAUACUCAGGCGCUUGAGAGAACUCGGGUGAAGGAACUAGGCAAAAUAGCACCGUAACUUCGGGAGAAGGUGCGCUUACAGUAAUUGUAGUCCCUCGCGGAUGAAGGUGAAGUAAGUCGAAGAUACCAGCUGGCUGCAACUGUUUAUUAAAAACACAGCACUCUGCAAACACGAAAGUGGACGUAUAGGGUGUGAUGCCUGCCCGGUGCUGGAAGGUUAAUUGAUGGUGUUAUCGAAAGAGAAGCUCCUGAUCGAAGCCCCAGUAAACGGCGGCCGUAACUAUAACGGUCCUAAGGUAGCGAAAUUCCUUGUCGGGUAAGUUCCGACCUGCACGAAUGGCAUAAUGAUGGCCAGGCUGUCUCCACCCGAGACUCAGUGAAAUUGAAAUCGCCGUGAAGAUGCGGUGUACCCGCGGCUAGACGGAAAGACCCCGUGAACCUUUACUAUAGCUUGACACUGAACAUUGAAUUUUGAUGUGUAGGAUAGGUGGGAGCCUUUGAAGCAGUGACGCCAGUCAUUGUGGAGGCGACCUUGAAAUACCACCCUUUAACGUUUGAUGUUCUAACGAAGUGCCUGAAACGGGUACUCGGACAGUGUCUGGUGGGUAGUUUGACUGGGGCGGUCUCCUCCCAAAGCGUAACGGAGGAGCACGAAGGUUUGCUAAUGACGGUCGGACAUCGUCAGGUUAGUGCAAUGGUAUAAGCAAGCUUAACUGCGAGACGGACAAGUCGAGCAGGUGCGAAAGCAGGUCAUAGUGAUCCGGUGGUUCUGAAUGGAAGGGCCAUCGCUCAACGGAUAAAAGGUACUCCGGGGAUAACAGGCUGAUACCGCCCAAGAGUUCAUAUCGACGGCGGUGUUUGGCACCUCGAUGUCGGCUCAUCACAUCCUGGGGCUGAAGUAGGUCCCAAGGGUAUGGCUGUUCGCCAUUUAAAGUGGUACGCGAGCUGGGUUUAGAACGUCGUGAGACAGUUCGGUCCCUAUCUGCCGUGGGCGUUGGAUGAUUGAUUGGGGCUGCUCCUAGUACGAGAGGACCGGAGUGGACGCAUCACUGGUGUUCCAGUUGUCUCGCCAGAGGCAUUGCUGGGUAGCUAAAUGCGGAAGAGAUAAGUGCUGAAAGCAUCUAAGCACGAAACUUGCCAAGAGAUGAGUCAUCCCUGACUUUAAGUCAGUAAGGGUUGUUUAAGACUAAGACGUAGAUAGGUUGGGUGUGUAAGUGUAGUGAUACAUUGAGCUAACCAAUACUAAUUGCCCGAGAGGCUUAACCAU